rnacentral:rRNA from 1 species
AUGAACGCUGGCGGCGUGCCUAAUCCAUGCAAGUCGCGCGAACAGACGAGGAGCUUGCUCCUCUAACGUUAGCGGCGGACGGGUGAGUAACACGUUGAUAACCUACCUAUAAUACUGGGAUAACUUCGGGAAACCGGAGCUAAUACCGGAUAAUAUAUUGAACCGCCUGGUUCAAUAGUGAAAGACGGUUUUGCUGUCACUUAUAGAUGGAUCCGCGCCGCAUUAGCUAGUUGGUAAGGUAACGGCUUACCAAGGCGACGAUGCGUAGCCGACCUGAGAGGGUGAUCGGCCACACUGGAACUGAGACACGGUCCAGACUCCUACGGGAGGCAGCAGUAGGGAAUCUUCCGCAAUGGGCGAAAGCCUGACGGAGCAACGCCGCGUGAGUGAUGAAGGUCUUCGGAUCGUAAAACUCUGUUAUUAGGGAAGAACAAAUGUGUAAGUAAAUAUGCACGUCUUGACGGUACCUAAUCAGAAAGCCACGGCUAACUACGUG